rnacentral:rRNA from 1 species
UACGUAGGGUGCGAGCGUUGUCCGGAAUUAUUGGGCGUAAAGAGCUCGUAGGCGGCUUGUCGCGUCGGAUGUGAAAGCCCGGGGCUCAACUCCGGAUCUGCGGUGGGUACGGGCAGACUAGAGUGCAGUAGGGGAGACUGGAAUUCCUGGUGUAGCGGUGAAAUGCGCAGAUAUCAGGAGGAACACCGAUGGCGAAGGCAGGUCUCUGGGCUGUAACUGACGCUGAGGCGCGAAAGCUAGGGGAGCAAACAGG